ensembl:misc_RNA Metazoa_SRP Metazoan signal recognition particle RNA
GCUGGGCAUGGUGGGGCAUGCCUGUAAUCCCAGCUACUCAGGAGGCUGAGGCAGGAGAAUUGCCUGAACCCAGGAGGCAGAGGUUGCGAUGAGCGGAGAUAGCGCCAUUGCACCUUCAGCCUGGGUAACAAGAGCAAAACUCUGUCUCAA